rnacentral:rRNA from 1 species
UUAAAGUAGUAUUAGUUAUGUUCUUGAAAUUUAAAGAUUUUGGCGGUAUUUUAGUCUAUUCAGAGGAACCUGUUCUAUAAUUGAUAGUCCACGAUUUAUUAUAUUUAAUUUAUUAAUUUGUAUAUCGUCGUUUUUAAAAAUUUUAUAAGAAUUUAAAUUUUUAAGAUUUUUAAUUAAAAAAUAAUUCAGAUCAAGGUGCAGUUUAUAGUUAAAAAGAAAUGGGUUACAAUAAAUUUAUUUAUUAUGGAUUUUUAUAUGAAAAAUUAUUAUAAAAGAGGAUUUGAUAGUAAUAAAAUUAAAUUAAAUUUUUUGAUUUUAGCUCUAAAAUAUGU